rnacentral:rRNA from 1 species
GACGAACGCUGGCGGCGUGCUUAACACAUGCAAGUCGAACGGACAGGCCCUGCUUUUGUGGGGUGCUCGAGUGGCGAACGGGUGAGUAACACGUGAGUAACCUGCCCUUGACUUUGUGAUAACUUCAGGAAACUGGGGCUAAUACCGGAUAGGAGCUCCUGCUGCAUGGGGGGGGUUGGAAAGUUUCGGCGGUUGGGGAUGGACUCGCGGCUUAUCAGCUUGUUGGUGGGGUAGUGGCUUACCAAGGCUUUGAAGGGUAGCCGGCCUGAGAGGGUGACCGGCGACAUUGGGACUGAGAUACGGCCCAGACUCCUACGGGAGGCAGCAGGGGGGAAUAUUGCACAAUGGGCGGAAGCCUGAUGCAGCAACGCCGCGUGCGGGAUGACGGCCUUCGGGGUGUAAACCGCUUUCGCCUGUGACGAAGCGGGAGUGACGGUAAUGGGUAAAGAAGCACCGGCUAACUACGUG